rnacentral:lncRNA from 1 species
GAUCCAGUCCUGGUUACAGAUGGUGUCCAGAAAUCCUCAAAGUCAAGGAACGUGACUGUGUUUGGGUUCCCUCAGGGAUGCCGAUUCCUCCUAGAAGUAGUGAUUCAGCUGGGAGCAGACAUUACUGAAGAGAACUGCAAGUGUAUCGGGGGUAAAGGGAGAAAUGAAAUUUUUCUCUAAUGGGAUUUUCUGAAGCCAGUCCCAUUGAUCGAGAUUGUUGUGCAGAGCUUAAAAAGUAGCCAGCCAGGUUGAACCUCGUAAGAAGAAGAUCACAGAAAUUCUGGGUGCUGGCCUGCAUGUGUGUGACAUUUUGGACCCCCGUGAGCUGGACUUCCUCUCCUCUCUCCCUUGUCUCCAGACGACUUGUCUUCCUGGCUCCUCUGGCAUGUACCUGGUGGUAGGACUCAGAGUACAGGAGCAGGUGUUCAGUAGUUCAGACAACACACAAACAUUUUGAGGAAUGCUCUGAAGCAUUAGGCGAUUCUACCCAUCUGUGGAGCUGCUUCUUUUGUGUGUCUUCAGGACCUUUUUUCUCAAAGAAUGGGAAUAUUCAGACACGUGAGUGUAGCAGAAGAACCACUGAACUGACUGCUUGGUAAACCUGAAAACUGGAGUUUCUUGGACAAACGCUUUGCAGAAUAGGCAGGCAUGAAAAAAUGUAUAUAUCUUUUUAAUUAUUAGAGUCAGAAGAGCACUGGAUAGAUAAUGCUGGGUUUAUAAAGUGGUACACUUAUGAGGGGAAUUAUGAAAUUUUGGAUGCUGGUACAAAUAGUUUCCUCAGCUGCAACUUCACAUGGGGUAAUAUGAAGACACAGGCCUGCCUGAGGACAGUGACGGACAUGUUGGUCUUGUUAGACUUGAUAUAGAAGCGAAAAGCCUCAGGCAAGUCAUAACCUCAAUGGUCAUAAGAAGGUCCAGUGCUGAAACUAAAAAAACUAUAUCAGAAAUAAAAUCCUUACACCUAUUGGAAAUGCUUGCA